rnacentral:tRNA from 1 species
UCCAGGGUAGCCUAGUGGACAUGGCAUCUGCCCGGUAAGCGGAAGGUUGUGGGUUCGGUUCCCGCCCCUGGAU